AGAAUCAACGCUGGCGGCGUGCCUCAGACAUGCAAGUCGAACGAUUAAACUUUCCUUCGGGAAAGAUAUAAAGUGGCGCACGGGUGAGUAACACGUAAGUAAUCUACCUUCGAGUGGGGAAUAACAUCGGGAAACCGAUGCUAAUACCGCAUAAUGCAGCGGCAUCGCAAGAUGACAGUUGUUAAAGGAGCAAUCCGCUUGAAGAGGAGCUUGCGGCAGAUUAGCUAGUUGGUAAGGUAACGGCUCACCAAGGCUACGAUCUGUAACCGGUCUAAGAGGACGGUCGGUCACACUGACACUGAAUAACGGGUCAGACUCCUACGGGAGGCAGCAGUCGGGAA
rnacentral:rRNA from 1 species